rnacentral:sRNA from 1 species
GGAAGUAAAAGUCGUAACAAGGUUUCCGUAGGUGAACCUGCGGAAGGAUCAUUAAAGAGACGUUGCCCUUCGGGGUAUACCUCCCACCCUUUGUUUAUUAUACCUUUGUUGCUUUGGCGGGCCCGUCCUCGGACCACCGGCUUCGGCUGGUCAGCGCCCGCCAGAGGACCUAAAACUCUGUUUGUUCAUAUUGUCUGAGUACUAUAUAAUAGUUAAAACUUUCAACAACGGAUCUCUUGGUUCUGGCAUCGAUGAAGAACGCAGCGAAAUGCGAUACGUAAUGUGAAUUGCAGAAUUCAGUGAAUCAUCGAAUCUUUGAACGCACAUUGCGCCCUUUGGUAUUCCUUAGGGCAUGCCUGUUCGAGCGUCAUUUAAACCUUCAAGCUAAGCUUGGUGUUGGGUGACUGUCCGCUUCACUGCGGACUCGCCUCAAAAUUAUUGGCGGCCGGUACAUUGGCUUCGAGCGCAGCAGAAACGCGAACUCGGGCCCGUCGUAUUGGCUCCCAGAAGCUAUCUUCACAAUUUUGACCUCGGAUCAGGUAGGGAUACCCGCUGAACUUAAGCAUAUCAAUAAGCGGAGGAAAAGAAACCAACAGGGAUUGCCCUAGUAACGGCGAGUGAAGCGGCAACAGCUCAAAUUUGAAAUCUGGCUCUUUCAGGGUCCGAGUUGUAAUUUGUAGAGGGUGCUUUGGAGUUGACUGUGGUCCAAGUUCCUUGGAACAGGACGUCGCAGAGGGUGAGAAUCCCGUAUGUGGCCGCCAGUCUUCUCCGUGUAAGGCCCCUUCGACGAGUC